rnacentral:rRNA from 1 species
CAGCAGUAGGGAUCUUCCGCAAUGGACGAAAGUCUGACGGAGCAACGCCGCGUGAGUGAUGAAGGUUUUCGGAUCGUAAAACUCUGUUAUUAGGGAAGAACAAAUGCGUAAGUAACUGUGCGCAUCUUGACGGUACCUAAUCAGAAAGCCACGGCUAACUACGUGCCAGCAGCCGCGGUAAUACGUAGGUGGCAAGCGUUAUCCGGAAUUAUUGGGCGUAAAGCGCGCGUAGGCGGUUUCUUAAGUCUGAUGUGAAAGCCCACGGCUCAACCGUGGAGGGUCAUUGGAAACUGGGAAACUUGAGUACAGAAGAGGAAAGUGGAAUUCCAUGUGUAGCGGUGAAAUGCGCAGAGAUAUGGAGGAACACCAGUGGCGAAGGCGACUUUCUGGUCUGUAACUGACGCUGAUGUGCGAAAGCGUGGGGAUCAAACAGGAUUAGAUACCCUGGUAGUCCACGCCGUAAACGAUGAGUGCUAAGUGUUAGGGGGUUUCCGCCCCUUAGUGCUGCAGCUAACGCAUUAAGCACUCCGCCUGGGGAGUACGACCGCAAGGUUGAAACUCAAAGGAAUUGACGGGCCCCC